rnacentral:rRNA from 1 species
GAGGAACACCGAUGGCGAAGGCAGCCCCCUGGGCCGAUACUGACGCUCAUGCACGAAAGCGUGGGUAGCAAACAGGAUUAGAUACCCUGGUAGUCCACGCCCUAAACGAUGUCAACUAGGUGUUGGGAGGGUUAAACCUNUAGUGGCCGUAGCUAACGCGUGAAGUUGACCGCCUGGGGAGUACGGCCGCAAGGCUAAAACUCAAAGGAAUUGACGGGGACCCGCACAAGCGGUGGAUGAUGUGGAUUAAUUCGAUGCAACGCGAAAAACCUUACCUACCCUUGACAUGUCAGGAAUCCUGGAGAGAUUCGGGAGUGCCCGCAGGGGAGCCUGAACACAGGUGCUGCAUGGCUGUCGUCAGCUCGUGUCGUGAGAUGUUGGGUUAAGUCCCGCAACGAGCGCAACCCUCGUCAUUAAUUGCCAUCAUUGAGUUGGGCACUUUAAUGAGACUGCCGGUGACAAACCGGAGGAAGGUGGGGAUGACGUCAAGUCCUCAUGGCCCUUAUGGGUAGGGCUUCACACGUCAUACAAUGGUCGGUUCAGAGGGUUGCCAACCCGCGAGGGGGAGCCAAUCUCAGAAAGCCGAUCGUAGUCCGGAUCGCAGUCUGCAACUCGACUGCGUGAAGCCGGAAUCGCUAGUAAUCGCGGAUCAGCAUGUCGCGGUGAAUACGUUCCCGGGUCUUGUACACACCGCCCGUCACACCAUGGGAGCGGGUACUGCCAGAAGUAG